GCAUGUCAUUUGUACAGAGUGACAACAUUACUUUAAGUCUGUUCAUCUUACAGAACUGUCAACACGACUUUUAUUUUAUUUUUAUUGUUUUUUAUUUGGUGUCUGAGUUGAGUAAUACUCCUUUAAAUAACUGAGGUGCCGCGCAACAUCUGUUUCCAAACUCUUACGUCCAGUCGCUGUCGUUGGUAUUCCAGCUGCUGGCGAACUCGUGCGGAUUCGCUACUGUGUUGCCGUCGGGUGUCAGAAAGUCGUCAAACUGACUUCCGGAGUAGGUCCCGCACAGGCCGCACAACACUCCUCUGUAGCGUUCAUCCACCUGGACGAACAGCCUGGCGUUUCCAAAUAGCAGCCUUAGACCGAAGUUUGUAUUAACCUGAGCGUAGGGCCCCGACUGAAACACAGACACAGAAGAACCAAAAUCCGCAGGGAGGCGAACCCGACCACCGUUUACCUGGAGUGAAGAAAAACGAGUCAAGAUCUUCUCCACACCCAUUCAGACAAGAUGGAAAGAGGGAAGGAAAGCCUCCAAAGUGCUAUUAAACCACCUCUCUGGAAGCCGCCAGGACAGAUAGAUGUUCUUCAUCAAUUCUGGCAAAAAAAUUCAGACACGAAAUCUGUUUUGAUUAUGUCAUUUCUAUGCCCCCCGUCUACUGUCUUUAGCAUGAUUGUACAGUAUCAUUUUACAGUAUGUUUUGUUUGUAAUAUCAGCUAUAAUGCAACUACUCUUGUGCCUCAUCAGACAAAUGCUCUUCUCAUUAAGAAUUGUGCAUGUUAGAAAGAUGGUUUUCAGUUCAGCGAGUAAGAACCAUUUGUACGGUCUCAGUUUUGUGAACCAGUUGUUGAGUUCAGGGCUGUGUUUCCCAGAAACAUCGUAAUCCGAAGUAGAUCACAGGGAACAUUAGAACUGGUCUGUCGACCAUUGUAAAUUAUUCUUUAAAAAAGGAUUGGCUCAAACAGAAGGAUUCAUAGAUCAAUCUAACAUUGGUAUUUUAUAGCUCUGAUCAGCUCAGGUUAGUCACUAGUGAAAAGUUCUAGACUCUGUUUGUUGUUGUGGUGCCAUCAGCCAAUCAACAGUGUCACAAUAUCAUUUUCUGUUCAGGUGCCAGGUUUAACCAGGUAUCUUCUUGAUUGAAAUGUUGAGAACUGCUGUAUUCUGUCUUCUGUAUGAAGUCUUCUGACAUUGCUUAGGCUGGUCUCACAAGGUCUCCCAUCAUGGUCAAACUAGACAGAUUUGCUGGUUUUAGAAGGGCUUAUGACCUUCUCAGCUGGGAGAACACUUGAUGAAACACCAGCUAGAUCAGUUUAAACUAGCUAAAACCAUAAAACCAGCUCAAGCUGAUUUCACCCUUGUUGCUUCUUUUGCAAUAUACGA